GUGGGCCUACGGGGGGCAGCAGUGGGGAAUAUUGCACAAUGGGCGAAAGCCUGAUGCAGCAACGCCGCGUGAAGGAAGACGGUUUUCGGAUUGUAAACUUCUGUUCUUAGUGAAGAAUAAUGACGGUAACUAAGGAGCAAGCCACGGCUAACUACGUGCCAGCAGCCGCGGUAAUACGUAGGUGGCAAGCGUUGUCCGGAUUUACUGGGUGUAAAGGGCGUGUAGCCGGGCUGACAAGUCAGAUGUGAAAUUCCGGGGCUCAACCCCGGACCUGCAUUUGGAACUGUUGGUCUUGAGUAUCGGAG
rnacentral:rRNA from 1 species